rnacentral:lncRNA from 1 species
CUCGCGUCAAGUAACCUUUACCUGUACCUGCAACUGGUGUUGUAGUAAUCUGUGAGCCACAGGGGACUCAGCAAUCUCAAUACCAAAGGUAUCAAGACUAGCAAAGCUUAAUGGGUGAGGUAUGGUUAAGUGGUGAGGUUACAGCAGCGGCUAAGCAUAUAUUUGGUGGCUAACUUACGAGUACAAGAAAUAAGAGGGGGAAGAUCUACGCAUAACGGACGUGAACUACUGAUGAUCAAAUGAAUGAUCCUGAACACCUACCUACGUCAGACAUAACCCCACCGUGUCCUCGACCGAAGAAGGAACUCACGAAAGAGACAGUCACGGUUACGCACACAGUUGGCAUAUUUUAAUUAAGUUAACUUCAAGUUAUCUAGAACCAAUGUUAAACAAAGUUUCCACGUUGCCACAUAACCGCGGGCACGGCUUUCCGAAAGAUUUAACCCUGCAGGGGUGCUCCAACUAGUCCAUCACAAAUUACCACAAGCCGCAUAGAAAUCCUCAAUCACAAAUUACCACAAGCCGCAUAGAAAUUACCCAAAGCAUCACCGGAAUCCCGAUGCACAAGAUAUUUUGUCAAAGGUAAAACUAAUCCAGCAAGGCCGGCCGACGUGUCGACGAUCCCGAUAGGAGUCGCGUACCUCGUUCUCAGGACACGACGAAUGAGCUAGACGUCGGGAUCGCUAAACAUCCGGGUGACCAGAGGGGCGCCGGACAUCGCUCAGGUGGGACCAACACUCAUGAGGAGCACUGGCCCGGGGGUUGAUUAAAAUAGUCCGCGGGUGCCGGCGGGUCCCUAUGCAUUAUUAUUAUAUUAUUAGGCGAAUGUAGUACCAAAGUUGGGCCUUGCCAGACCAGUCUUAAUCUAAAACAAAUUAUCAAGGGGGUCCCCAUAACAACCCCAAUCGUGUUAGGAGCGCUCAUUUAUGGAACAUAACACCGGUAGCCGAAAUUGAGGGGGCAAAGGUGGAACAAAACACCAGGCUAGAAAAGGUCGAGCCUUCCACCUUUUACCAAGUAUAUAGGUCCAUUAAGUUUAAAUAGCAUUUAAAUAUGGUGUUAUAACAAGGAACCCAUGUUUUCACAUGGAAGCAACUGCACCUGUAACUAGCAACGCUAACAUAGGGUUAAGCAAGGAGUAACAUAGCCAAUCAGUGGUUUGCUAGGUCGAACAGGUUAAAGGUUAACAUGGCAUUGUUGAGAGGCUGAUAUUUACCAUGUGGUAGGCAAUGAGACAUAAACGGUAGCAACGGUAAAACUAGCACGACAAUGAUAGUAAUGGUAUCUGGGGGAAAUGGUCAUCUUGCCUGAGAUCCCGCUUGGAAGAAGAAUGACUCCGAGAAGCAGUCAAACCGAUGUAGUCGAACGGGUCCUCACAAUCCGAUACGCUUGCGGAACUCUAACGAGACGAAGCAAACCGGAAACACAAAUCAACACGGAAUUCACCACACGAUGCACAACACAAAUGAUGCAUGAGCAGCUGAAUACAUGCAAGACACGGCAUGACAAUUCACGUCAAACAAACACUACACAUUAAGUGAAGUUCAAUAUGCAGCGAGUUGCAUAUUGACGAAACUCCACAUACGAGUUAUUUAGUUCUAUCCUGAUUAGAUACACGACAAUAUUAAAUCUUGCUAAACAUGGCACGAGGGUGAAGCACAAAUUAAUCUACCUAGCUAGGCAUUUUAAAUGAGGUCGGAAGCAUCAUAUAGCACCUCCGAGAGGACCUCACAAGUUAAUUUACAAUUCUGUCCAGAUCUGAACUAAUAAAUUUAUUUAGUUGUUAAACAGCAAAACAAAAAGUUUCACGUGAUUCUACGCGUCAUUUCAAGCAAUCUACACAAAGAGAACAUCUCCAACGGAGCUACGGACAAAUAGUUACGACCUAAACCGUUUUCAACACAUCGACACGCAAACCGAUGCAAACAGCACACUAAACAGUUCUAAUUAUGCAUGAGAGUUGCAAAAUAUUACUCUACGCAAAAUUCUAGUCAAAAACCAUAUAUAACUCACUCCGAUCCGAGGCACGGUUUAGAAACUACGCUCUUUUGAAAAUCAAUGCAUUUCUUCUGAAAUUAAAUAAAAUCGCAAGAGGGAAAAAAUGAACAUAGGCCAAAUUGCAACAUCUUGCAGUGGCCAUAAGAGGAUUCAGCCCAAGAGGCUCUGCACACAGAAGGCAAAAUAUUUUUACCAACAACAGAAAGAACAGAGGCUUCCCUGGGAUUUGAUGGGAUUUGAUCCCAAUACCUCUUUGGUGCAGAGGAAGGCACAAACCAACCGAGCUGCAAAUCAGUUGUGAUAAGGCAUGGGUUUUUAGCCUAUAUGAAAGUGCAUAAGGAAGCAACCUGGAGUAAAAUAAAAACAAGCAAAACAGAUAUAGGGGUGAAUGGGAUUCGAACCCCACACACCCUGGUGUUGGCGCUGCUAGGUUGACCAGUCAAGCUGGCCAUAGCUUGUGCUAUAAGCAUCUGAAAUACCGGAGAAGAAAUAGCAACAUGUGUACGUCGAUGGUGCAACAAAAAUUAAAUAAGAGCUCGCUGGGAUUUGAUCCCGGGUCUCCUGGCUAGAAGGAGAGAGCGCUAGCCACUUUAGUAACCAUGUGUGCGUGUAGGAAUUCAGAGGCAAUACUACAUAACAUCAGCAUGGCGGAACAGAUCUUGGAAAGAACUGAAAUUCAGUUACGCAGGGACUUGCUCACAUCAGGGGAUGGGGAGGCCAUGGCGGUCUGGGCAGGGGUCUCGAGCACGGAUUGCGGCGGGGAACGACAUGGAAGGCUCGGGCAGCGGCGGCUCUUGCCGGAUCUGGCCGGGGUGGCUCCAUUCCCGACGGAUCUAAUGUGAUCCGGCGGAGCUUGGCCUCCAUGGCUUCCUGUUCGAACGAGACAGAGAGAGAUGAGCGAAGGGGCAUGGAAGAAAGGGAAGAACGGGGAGAGCAGGGCAACGACGAGGUUACCGGCGGCGCUAGGAGGUGAGGGAUGGGCAUUGGGGUCGGAUCCGAGGAUGGCUUGUAGGUCCUUCGGCGCCUCCAUGGCUGCUCCUGAUUGCAAGGGGAGAGAGAGACAUUAGAGAGACGAGGAGAAACACCAGAGACAGGGAGAAGAAGGGCGGCAACGAGGUCGACCUGGCCGGGGACUGGAACCCGUUGGUCACGGGGUUGCUGCUCGGGCGGCUUGCCGGCCAGCCGGAUGAGAGGAUAGUGGUCUGAGGUCUUGGUGUGAGCAGGGAGGCAGCAUAGGAGCUGCGGUUGUUGGCUGCUGCGGGUUGUUGGCACGUGGAGGACGGCCUCGCUAGUUGGACGAGGAAGAUCCCGAGGGGGUGGCGGCGCGGACGGGACAAAUGUCCUAGUUUUUAGGGUUUGGUCUAAUUGAACUAGGUAGUCUGUAUAUAACUAGUGGGUUAGGUAUAGGGGCAUCUGGAACUUCCGAUUUAGAUCGGAUGGUCGAGAUAAUUAGGUUAGGGAGAGCAAUAGACAAACCGAUGAUGAUUUGCAGUAAAAUGGGGUUGAUCCGGAUCCAACGGUCACGACCGCCGGGUUCGGGUUCCGGAGGUUUUCGGACUGGGCUGCGCGUAGGGCCGACGCACUGUGCAGAGGGCCUAGGCACAGAUGAGAGGGAAAACGGGCGACCCGGCAACGUAUUUAAAAACAUCAACAUACGUCCGACGGUAGACCGAAUACGGUCUCGCUACGGUCGACCGUUCGGGUACCAGACGGAAUCCGAUUGCGACGAAACUCGACAGGCGGCCUAGCUAUAACUAAUCACGACUGCAUGUCAAGUUUCAACUCGAUCAGAGUAAGUUUCAACACACUUUUAAAACAGGGUUUUGACAAUGCCGCGGGCGCGUGCGUGUGCGGUCGGGCUCAGAACGGACAACGAAGUGAACCGGCAACUAACAACGGAUGCAAGUUUGAGAACUGACGGCAACGGAGAUGCCGAUGCAAUGCUGAUGAUGCGCAUGAUGUGAUGAUGAAGCAACAAAAGAAAAUAGACACACGACGAAAACGGAAUAGAAGGGGAAUCUUCUGGAACGUCGACAUCGGGCUGUCACAAGCAUGCAUCUAGUGUAUUAAGUCCAAAAGAACAGAGUAACGCCUUAAGCAAGAUGACAUGAUGUAGAUGGACAAUCUCAUAUCUACGACAAAGCCCAUCUUGUUACCCUUGAUGGNNNNNNNNNNNNNNNNNNNNNNNNNNNNNNNNNNNNNNNNNNNNNNNNNNNNNNNNNNNNNNNNNNNNNNNNNNNNNNNNNNNNNNNNNNNNNNNNNNNNGGCCCCUGGCUCUGUGUCUUCGGGUAGUUCUCGCGCUAGUAUUUUUUAUAUAUUCCACAAAAAAUCCUCGUAAGUUUCCUGGUCAUUCCGAGAACUUUUAUUUCUGCACAAAAACAACACCAUGGCAAUUCUGCUGAAAACAGCAUCAGUCUGGGUUAGUUUCAUUCAAAUCAUGCAAAUUAGAGUCCAAAACAAGGGCAAAAGAGUUUGGAAAAGUAGAUACGAUGGAGACGUAUGAGGUCAUGUUUCCUGGUAUCUCUGGUGUGAUUGGCGGCUGAAGUAGGGGGUGCUGAUGUAGAAGGGCGUGCGGAAUUAGAUGUGGUUCAUGGCGUCUAUGAGGAAGUGCGACCUGCAAGUCGUGGUUUUGUCACGGCAGAUGUCCUCGUGAAAGGACUUAGUAUUGGAGCCAUCGCACUUUGGUGGCGACUCAAAGGGGUUGAAUGGGAGUGAGACGGCGAUUUACCCAGGUUCGGCCCCUCGUGAGGAGGUAAAGGCCUACGUCCUGCUUUGAGUUGUAUUGAUGGAGUUUCGAUUACAAGGAGGGCGUAACUCGCCAGACCUAGUACUCGAUGAUUUCUAACCUGCCCUCUUCUUCCCUGGGGCUCGCCUUUAUAUACAGGUCGAGUCCCUAGGGUUUACAAGGGUAAUUUCCUUUCUACAAACCGUGAUUCUCACGAUCUCUAAGUCGCCAUCUUUCCAAAGCUUGGAAACCUUUCGGAAGUUGUAAACCGCCAUACCACCUUCGGUCUUGCCNNNNNNNNNNNNNNNNNNNNNNNNNNNNNNNNNNNNNNNNNNNNNNNNNNNNNNNNNNNNNNNNNNNNNNNNNNNNNNNNNNNNNNNNNNNNNNNNNNNNAAGUAACCUUUACCUGUACCUGCAACUGGUGUUGUAGUAAUCUGUGAGCCACAUGGGACUCAGCAAUCUCAAUUCCAAAGGUAUCAAGACUAGCAAAGCUUAAUGGGUGAGGUAUGGUUAUGUGGUGAGGUUACAGCAGCGGCUAAGCAUAUAUUUGGUGGCUAACUUACGAGUACAAGAAAUAAGAGGGGGAAGAUCUACGCAUAACGGACGUGAACUACUGAUGAUCAAAUGAAUGAUCCUGAACACCUACCUACGUCAGACAUAACCCCACC